UACGUAGGGGGCAAGCGUUGUCCGGAUUUAUUGGGCGUAAAGAGCGUGUAGGCGGCCAGGUAGGUCCGUUGUGAAAACUCGAGGCUCAACCUCGAGACGUCGGCGGAAACCCUCUGGCUAGAGUCCGGAAGAGGAGAGUGGAAUUCCUGGUGUAGCGGUGAAAUGCGCAGAUAUCAGGAAGAACACCAGUGGCGAAGGCGGCUCUCUGGGACGGUACUGACGCUGAGACGCGAAAGCGUGGGGAGCAAACGGG
rnacentral:rRNA from 1 species